rnacentral:rRNA from 1 species
CGUAGGGUGCAAGCGUUAAUCGGAAUUACUGGGCGUAAAGCGUGCGCAGGCGGUUUGUAAGUCUGUCGUGAAAUCCCCGGGCUCAACCUGGGAAUUGCGAUGGAGACUGCAAGGCUAGAAUCUGGCAGAGGGGGGUAGAAUUCCACGUGUAGCAGUGAAAUGCGUAGAGAUGUGGAGGAACACCGAUGGCGAAGGCAGCCCCCUGGGUCAAGAUUGACGCUCAUGCACGAAAGCGUGGGGAGCAAACAGGAUUAGAUACCCUGGUAGUCCACGCCCUAAACGAUGUCUACUAGUUGUCGGGUUUUAAUUAACUUGGUAACGCAGCUAACGCGUGAAGUAGACCGCCUGGGGAGUACGGUCGCAAGAUUA